UAUUUUGACUAUAUGAAGGUAUUGAAAUAAGGCUUUUAUUGGGUGCUAAGAGAAUGGUUUUACAAAGAUUAACUUUCUUUUUUCUUUUAAUAGAAUUUAAUUUAAAUAUGAAAAAGUUUUUAUAAGAGUUUGGGACAAGAAGACCCUAUGAAUUUUUUUUUAAAUUUAAAAAUUUAUAUAUUAAUAUGAAUGUUUUGUUAUUAUUUAAAGUUGAUUGGGGUGAUUGUUUAAGAUUUAAAAUCUUAAACAAUGAUGUAAUUAGAACCUAAAAUUUAGGUUAUUUGAGUAAAAUACUCUAGGGUUAACAGCGUUAUUAUUUUGGAUAGUUCUUAUAGAUGAAAUAGUUUGCGACCUCGAUGUUGGAUUAGGA
rnacentral:rRNA from 1 species